GACAGAGGUGCCGAGCGUUAGGCGGAAUCACUGGGCUUAAAGCGUGUGUAGGCGGAUCGUUAAGUACCUUGUGAAAUCCCAUGGCUCAACCAUGGAACUGCUUGGUAUACUGGCGGUCUUGAGCCAGCUAGGGGCUACCGGAACAAAUGGUGGAGCGGUGAAAUGCGUAGAUAUCAGUUGGAACGCCAAUGGUGAAAACAGGUAGCUGGGGCUGUGCUGACGCUGAGACACGAAAGCCAGGGGAGCGAACGGG
rnacentral:rRNA from 1 species